rnacentral:rRNA from 1 species
UACGUAGGGGGCUAGCGUUGUCCGGAAUCAUUGGGCGUAAAGCGCGUGUAGGCGGUCCGGUAAGUCCGCUGUGAAAGUCGGGGGCUCAACCCUCGAAUGCCGGUGGAUACUGUCGGGCUAGAGUGCGGAAGAGGCGAGUGGAAUUCCUGGUGUAGCGGUGAAAUGCGCAGAUAUCAGGAGGAACACCGAUGGCGAAGGCAGCUCGCUGGGACGGUACUGACGCUGAGGCGCGAAAGCGUGGGGGAGCGAACAGG